GUCUCAUGUAGUGCAAUUGAUAGCGCGUUGGACUUCUAAUCCAAAGAUCAUGUGUUCGAUAACCCAUCUGGGACA